rnacentral:rRNA from 1 species
UACGUAGGGUGCGAGCGUUGUCCGGAAUUAUUGGGCGUAAAGAGCUCGUAGGCGGUUUGUCGCGUCGACUGUGAAAACCUGGGGCUUAACUCUGGGCCUGCAGUCGAUACGGGCAGACUUGAGUUCGGUAGGGGAGACUGGAAUUCCUGGUGUAGCGGUGAAAUGCGCAGAUAUCAGGAGGAACACCGAGGGCGAAGGCAGAUCUCUGGGCAUUAACUGACGCUGAGGAGCGAAAGCAUGGGGAGCGAACAGG